GAUCCGAAGAUUGGAUGAACUAUCAAGGUGCAGUGGAAGCCCGGAAACAGAUGAAGGUUCCUUGCGAAAUCAUCCGAGUUCCAAAGGGAGGGCAUUUCGUGUUCAUAGAUAAUCCGACAGGCUUCCAUUCGGCAGUACUCUAUGCUUGUCGCACGUUCGUGUCUUCUUCGGACGCCGAUCCCCAACACGCCCCUCUCCCCGAGGGUCUUCAGUCUGUUUAGUAUGAUUUAUGUGUAUAUAUAUAUAUAGUUAUAUCCUCACAUGAGGAAAAAAUAAAAUAGUCAAAAUGAAGAUUCGUUUCAUCUGUUACGCAAGCUCAUUACUUGUUCAUCCAUUUCUUCUGUUUUAUGGAUUUUUAUUUUCU